rnacentral:rRNA from 1 species
GACGUAGGAGGCGAGCGUUGUCCGGAUUCAUUGGGCGUAAAGAGCACGCAGGCGGUUUGGCAAGUCGGACGUGAAAAUCCGGGGCUCAACCCCGGACCUGCAUCCGAAACUGCCCGACUAGAGGUAGGUAGGGGAGAUCGGAAUUCCUGGUGUAGCAGUGAAAUGCGCAGAUAUCAGGAGGAACACCGGUGGCGAAGGCGGAUCGCUGGGCCACACCUGACGCUGAGACGCGAAAGCCAGGGGAGCGAACAGG